rnacentral:rRNA from 1 species
AGUGAACGCUGGCGGCAGGCCUAACACAUGCAAGUCGAACGGCAGCACAGGAGAGCUUGCUCUCUGGGUGGCGAGUGGCGGACGGGUGAGGAAUACAUCGGAAUCUACUCUGGCGUGGGGGAUAACGUAGGGAAACUUACGCUAAUACCGCAUACGACCUACGGGUGAAAGCAGGGGAACUUCGGACCUUGCGCGAUUGAAUGAGCCGAUGUGGGAUUAGCUAGUUGGCGGGGUAAAGGCCCACCAAGGCGACGAUCCGUAGCUGGUCUGAGAGGAUGAUCAGCCACACUGGAACUGAGACACGGUCCAGACUCCUACGGGAGGCAGCAGUGGGGAAUAUUGGACAAUGGGCGCAAGCCUGAUCCAGCCAUACCGCGUGGGUGAAGAAGGCCUUCGGGUUGUAAAGCCCUUUUGUUGGGAAAGAAAUCCAGCUGGCUAAUACCCGGUUGGGAUGACGGUACCCAAAGAAUAAGCACCGGCUAACUUCGUGCCAGCAGCCGCAGUAA